rnacentral:rRNA from 1 species
ACGGGAGGCAGCAGUGAGGAAUAUUGGACAAUGGUCGGAAGACUGAUCCAGCCAUGCCGCGUGAAGGCUAAGGUCCUAUGGAUUUUAAACUUCUUUUGUACGGGAGCAAUAAGGUCUACGCGUAGGCCGAUGAGAGUACCGUACGAAUAAGCAUCGGCUGACUCCGUGCCAGCAGCCGCGGUAAUACGGAGGAUGCGAGCGUUAUCCGGAUUUAUUGGGUUUAAAGGGUGCGUAGGCUGUUUCUUAAGUCAGCGGUGAAACUCAUCUGCUCAACAGAUGCCGUGCCGUUGAAACUGGGGGACUUGAAUGCGGAUGCUGUGGGAGGAAUGUGUGGUGUAGCGGUGAAAUGCAUAGAUAUCACACAGAACACCGAUUGCGAAGGCAUCUCACAAAUCCGUGAUUGACGCUGAGGCACGAAAGUGCGGGGAUCGAACAGGAUUAGAUACCCUGGUA